GUGUUCUGAUCCAUGUCUCCGUGAGUUGCAGAUACUGUGUGAUCACGACCACGCAUUUUGUCAGUGAGCCAAUCAACCUUUCGCCUGGUGUUGACAAAGAUGACACUCUGGGUGAUGGCCAAGGUCUCGUAAAGAUCACAAAGUGUUUCAAGUUUCCACUCUUCCUUAUCGACGUUGACAUAGAAUUGCUUAAUACCUUCAAGAGUGAGCUCAUCACGCUUCACGAGAAUUCUCACUGGCUUGUUCAUGAAUUUUCUAGUAAUCUCAAGAGCCUCUGGUGGCAUUGUAGCAGAGAAAACACCCACUUGGAUCUUUGGUGGCAAAAGCUGGAAUAUAUCAUAAAUCUAGAAAAAAAUAAUUGCGUCAGCGGACAGGCUUCAUCAUCGAAACAAAGAAAAGACCAGUAAUUGUUAAAGGACACUAAAGCACAUCAAAGCUGUGAUUGUGGUGGUGGUGAGUUUCACCAACAAGCUGAUCAUAAACUGGCAUAUAUUUCAAGCAAACUGAACGUUGUAAAUGAAAGUGAGAACCUACACAGCAUGAAAUCAACCAGACUUGGCCACAGCGAUGAAUCUUGGGCCUCUAAUACCAGACACAUCCACAAAAUGAAUGGCUGUGGAUAUGCAAAGGACAUCAUAUGUACACUCAUUUAUGAUUUGACAUGAAAAUAUAAAUAGCACAAAAUAUAAGACUACUUCAAACAAGUCGCUAGAGAUAAUUUUCUCAUGUCUUACGGACCUUCAAGUGUCCUGGUCCAUAGGCACCUGACUACGAUGAUUGAACACGGCAGGAGGGAAUAAUAAUAAUCCUACAAGACUUCAAAUAAAACACAAUGAAGGCACAAUAUCCGUAUAUUAAUACGGACAAGUUAAGAGUCAGAACUUGGUGGUUCUUUUACUUGCAUCCAAUUCAGUGUUGGGGACUAGUUAGAUAUAACGCAAUGAAACUAAAAGAAAUUCUAACAAGGCAAAUACUGCUUUGAAUUAACAGAACAGAACAGCAAAAAAAUUAAGUAGAAGGGAGACCUGAUCCUUGAAACCUCUAGAGAGCAUUUCAUCAGCUUCAUCCAAAACAAACAUCUUGAUGUGGUCGGGGCGAAGAGACUGUCUGCGCAACAUGUCAAAGACACGGCCUGGAGUACCAACUACCACAUGAACACCACUCUGAAGGAUACGCUGAUCCUCACGGACACUGGUACCCCCAACACACGCAUGAACCUUCACGCCCAGAUAGUCUCCGAGCGCACGCAUAACCUUCUCAAUCUGUUGUGCCAGCUCACGGGUUGGUGCAAGAACAAGAGCCUGACAUUCAACUAAACUGUAAUCAAGUUGCUGGAGAACUCCAGAGCAGAAAGUUGCCGUCUUUCCAGUUCCCGAUUGUGCCUGCUGGAUAACAUCAAGGCCCUUGCAAAAGGGAACGAUGCCCCUUUGCUGAAUAGCUGAUGGCUUCUCAAAACCUUCAAGAAAUUCAAAACACUGUUCAGUGCCUGUAAAAUCUGAGAAUUGAGGAAAGGAAACCAGAAUAUAAGGAGAUGUCAAUUUUACCAUAGGCAUAGAUGCCUCUCAGAAGGUUUUCUUGCAAACCCAUGGCAUCAAAGCUGUCAUAAACCUCAUCAUAUGAUGUGAAAAAAUCUUGUUGUUCAGUACCAAGUCUGUUUUUGGCAUAUCAAAACAACCACAAAAGUCAAUCAAAUCAAUGGCAAAAGGUUAGAGGACAAAUAUCAGCAGAAACUGAUGAUCAAUAACCUCAGUACAGGAUGGAGAAGAGAUAACUUACAGCUCCGUCAUUUUCGCAUCGAAUUGACGAGCAUCAAACUGAGAACCCUCUGGUGCCGAGCCUGCCAUACUGCAGAGAAUAUAACAAAAAAGCAGAUAAAUCAGUUAAUUAUGCCUCAAUCUCAACAAGUGAAUAACAAAUCCUAUCAGAAGAUAUAGUAGACGAUAAACAGUGAAGGUAGAAGCCUAACUCUAUGACAUUAUCUUGAGACCCAAAACACUUCAUCAAAGACUCAAAAGAAAUAAUUUGUUCACCAAGUACUAUUAACUAAUUAUCAAAACUAGAAUUCUCAAAAUAAAAAAUAACAAAUCUUAUCAGUCACAUGGACAUUCAUUAAACAUCAUGAAGAAGACAACAAGGGAAGGUCAAAACUGGACUCCAUGGCACAUAAGAUAAUAACAAAAGGUAGUUUAAGGCCUAAAACACUUCAAAAAUAAAAUUUAUUCACCAGAUAUCAAUAAUAUUAUCUGUUCUUCCUUCAUUCAUGAGGGGCAUGCACAAGAGACAAUAUACAUCAUUUCUCCUUUUACUUUUUCUUUCCUGAGGAAGUAAAAGGAGCAGAAAGCAGAUAGAAAGAACUGUUUGACUACUUGCCAGACAGGUCAACCCUAUUUCUAUAGCUAUUUGACACAGAGUCAAGGUUACAAAAGUCGAGAAUGAGAGUGUUGGAGGAGAUGCUAAAACGGACCUACAAAUCAAACCAACCGAGAAUAGUGAAGAAUAAGCACGUGAACCCCACAAAACCCAACUGUCUGAAAGAUCACUACUUUGUGCCGAUGAAUCAUCAAAAACUCAAAAACCAUCAAAACUAAAACAUAUACAAAUCAGAACCAAUCCAAAUUAGUGAAGAGCAAGCACGGGAACCCCACAAAACCCAACAGUCUGAAAAAUCACUACUUUGUGCCAAUGAAUCAUCAAAAACUCAAAAACCAUCGAAACUAAAACAAGCAUAUACAAAUCAGAACCAAUCCAAAUUAGAGAAGAGCAAAGAAACAUACUCCAUAAUACCAAACUGUCUGAAAAAUCACUACUUUAUGCCGACAGAACAUCAAAAACUCAAAAUACCAUCAAAAUGGUGAAGCAAGGAACUAAGAAAACACAUAAAAAUCAAAACCAAAAACGUUGAACCACACAAAAACCUAACUGCAGAAAAACCACUACUUUAAACUCAAAACACCAUCUAAACUUAUAAACAUAUACAAAUCAAAACAAACCCAAAUUAGCAAAGAGCAAGAACGUUGAACCUCACAAAACCAAACUGUUUGAAAAAAACCCUACUUUACACCAAUAAAACAUCCAAACUCAAACACCAUCUAAACUAAACAAACAUAUACAAAAUCAAAACCAGCCCAAAUUAGUGAAGAUCCCACAAAACCCAACUAUAAAAAAUAACUACUUUACGGCGACGAAACAUCAAAAACUCAUACACCAUCUAAUCUGAAACAAGCAUAUAGAAAUCAAAACCAACCCAAAUUAGCGAAGAGCAAGACCAUCGAACCCCACAAACUGUCUGAAAAAAAACACUACUUUAUUCCAAUGAAUCAUCAAAACCUCAAGCACCAUCUAAACUAACACAAACACAAACAGAUACAAAUCAAAACCAACCCAAAUUAAUUAAAGAGCAAGAAUAUCAAACCCCACAAUACCGAACUGUCAGAAAAAUUCACUAAUUCACACCAAUGAAUAUUCAAAACCUCAAACACCAUCUAAACUAAAUCAAACACAAACAGAUACAAAUAAAAACCAAUCCAAAUUAGUUAAGAGCAAGAACAUCAAACCCACAAUACCCAACUGUCUGAAAAUCAUUACUUUAUGAAUCCUCAAAAACUCAAACACCAUCUUAACAACAAACAUACACAAAUCAAACCCAACUCAAAUUAGUAAAAACCAACAACAUCCAACCCCACAAACCUCAACUAUAAAAACAAUCACAACUUUACACCAAUGGAUCAUCAAAAACUCAAACACCAUCUAAACUAAAACAAACAUAUACAUAUCAAAACCAACCCAAAUUAGUGAAGACCAAGAACAUCAAACUCCACAAUACCAAACUAUCUGAAAAAAUCACUGCCUUACGCCAAUCAAAACAUCAAAAAUUCAAGCACCAUACAAAUUAAAACCAACCCAAACUAGGUAAAACCAACAUCCAACCCCACAAAACCCAGCAGCAUAAAAAUCACAACUUUACUUUAUGAAUCAUCAGAAACUCAAACACCAACUAAACUAAAACAAACACACACAAUCAAAACAAACCCAAAUAAGUAAAAACUAAGAACAUCCAACCCCACAAAACUCAACAGCAUAAAAAUCCCAACUUUACUAUAUAAAUCAUCAAAAACUCAAACACCAUCAAACUAAAACAAAACACACAUAAAUCCAAACAAAUCCCAACUUUACCAAAUCAUCAAAAACUCAAACACCAUCUAAACUAAAACAAACACACACAAAUCAAAACAAACCCAAAUAAGUAAAAACUAAGAACAUCCAACCCCACAAAACUCAACCACAUAAAAUCCCAACUUUACUUCAUAAAUCAUCAAGAACUCAAACACCAUCUUAACUAAAACAAGCACACACAAAUCAAAACCAACACAAAUAAGUAAAAACUAAGAACAUCCAAUCCCACAAAACUCAACAACAUAAAAUCCCAACUUUACUUUAUAAAUCAUCAAUAACUCGAACACCAUCUAAACUAAAACAAACCUACACAAAUCAAAACCAAACCAAAUAAGUAAAAACUAAGAACAUCCAACCCCACAAAACUCAACAACAUAAAAUCCCAACUUUACUAUAUAAAUCAUCAAGAACUCAAACACAAUCUAAACUAAAACAAACACACACAAAUCAAAACAAACCCAAAUAAGUAAAAACUAAGAACAUCCAACCCCACAAAACUCAACAACAUAAAAUCCCAACUUUACUUUAUAAAUCAUCAAGAACUCAAACACCAUCUAAACUAAAACAAGCAUACACAAAUCAAAACCAAACCAAACAAGUAAAAACUAAGAACAUCCAACCCCACAAAACUCAACAGCAUAAAAAUCCCAACUUUACGUUAUAAAUCAUCAAUAACUCGAACACCAUCUAAACUAAAACAAACACACACAAAUCAAAACAAACCCAAAUAAGUAAAAACUAAGAACAUCCAACCCCACAAAACUCAACAACAUAAAAUCCCAACUUUACUUUAUAAAUCAUCAAGAACUCAAACACCAUCUAAACUAAAACAAGCAUACACAAAUCAAAACCAAACCAAACAAGUAAAAACUAAGAACAUCCAACCCCACAAAACUCAACAGCAUAAAAAUCCCAACUUUACGUUAUAAAUCAUCAAUAACUCGAACACCAUCUAAGCUAAAACAAACAUACACAAAUCAAAACCAACCCAAACUAGUAAAAACCAACAACAUCCAACCCCAACUGCAAAAAGAUCACAACUUUACUUAUGAAUCAUCAAGAACUCAAAUACCCAUUUAAACCUAACCACACAGAUACAAGAAUCCAGCAAAACACACAAAAAAAUAACCACACACAAAGCAAAAAAAAACAAAAACAAAAAAAGUUCAGCAGAAACAAGAGAGUUACCUUGUAGCUAACAAGAAGAUUGUUAAAGAGAGAUCUGAAGAUUUGAGAAAAAGGGGAUUCUUGAGAAUUAGGGUUUGUAAAGACUGCAGCUUUUUUCCAAAAACUCCUCGGAUCUACGCCGCGUAGUUCAGGAAGACAAUAUUGUGUGAAAGAGAGUUUUUAUGAUUAUGUUAUGUUUUGUCUUUAUAUGUUUCCAAAUUCCUUAUGUAAAUUUGAGUUGAAAAUAAAAAAAGAAAAAAAAUUCAAAUAAAUUUCCCUAACCUAUUAUAUUUUGGUGGUAAGUUUUAAAAAAUAUUUUCAUAAUUUAUUAAAAGUUAUUAGCAUUUUUUGGUCUUAGUAAAAUAUUUACUAAAUUAUAAUUAUUAAUUUGGGCAAACGACUUAAAUCGCAUACUUAUAAGUUUAUAAUUACAGAAAUUCCUCAAACUGAUACAGUAAUAUAAAAACUGAUACAUUAAUCUGAUGCGCGAGAUACAUUAAUCAUUAAGUAAGAUGCAUUACAUAUUAUACCUGAUACACAAAUCUGAUGUGGGAAAUACAUUAAUCUGAUACACGAGAUACAUUAAUUUGAUGCGCUGAUACAUUAAUUUGAUGCGUGAAAAAUAAGGGAUUUUGAAAAUUUGUAAAACUAAUAGGGAAUAAUGGUAAUAAAAAAACUUAAAGGCGAGAUUUCUGUCAUUUUUCACAAUUUAAUUUUGAAAUAGUAGAAUAUAAAUUUUAAUCAACAAAUUAAAAUUUAAAAUAGUAGAAAAUAUUCAUGAGAAAUUCACAUUAUAUUGUAAUUUAUAUUUGUUUUUUUUGGUCGAUUUAAAAUUAUGGGAUAAUUUUUAGGAUUAAUGAUUGUUAUGUUUUUACUUUUUUGUAGUAUGUAGUUUAUUAGUAUGUUGCAAUAUAUAAAGACUUUAAUGGAGACUUUUGGUGUUUAAUGUUUAUGGUUAAUAAUUUUUUUUCAAUAUUUAAAUUAAAUAACUAGGUUUAUCUAGGUUUCUGAUAAAUAUUUGAAAAAUAUACUCAUUUUUUGACAAUUUAAAAGGACUGAAACAGCUCAAAAGUGGUACAUAUGGGACUAUUUUGAAACUAAUAUUAAAGACAAGGGACUAUUUUCUAGUAGAAAUUUUCUCUUUUUCUGAUAAAUUUUUUUAAUUGAAUAUGAGAUUUACUUUAUAUAAGUGUUUUCUAAUCUCUAACAAAAAGAUAUAAUUUUAUUUUAACACAAAACUACUAAAGAAAAUGAACCUUUAAAAAGUAUUAUACAAUUUUAGUUUGUGAGUUUUAGUAACACACCUCACUCCGUCAUAUAAACCACAAUUUUCUUUCUGAUAACAAAGAAAACCCGCAGUCACUAUCCUUUGAGUGCACACAGAAUAAAACUUCCUCUCAUAUGCAAUAACUCGCAAAUCACUAGGCAAGCUUGGUGCGACAAGCUCGACCCAGAAGACAAACCCCUUGCUUUAGCUGGGAAGGGGUUUCGAACUUGAUUACUCCAACAUGAAAGUCCAUACCUCACUCCGUCAUAUAAACCACAAUUUUCUUUUUGAUGACAAGGAAAACCCGCAGUUACUAUUCUUUAAAUGCGCACAAAAUAAAACUCUCGUUCCUAUGCAAUAAUUCGCAAACCACUAGGCAAGCUUGAUGCGACAAGCUCGAUCCAGAAGACAUACCCCUUGCUUUAGCUGGAAAGGGGUUUCGAACUUGAGACCUCCAACACGAAAGUCUCAAGCUCAAACAACUGAGCCACCCGAAGGUCACAUAAACCACAACCUUCUAUGUUUAAAAGAAUAUAACCACAAAGUCUGGAGUACAAAUAUGAAAUAUAGCAUCAAAAUGAGAAAAAAACAGAUAAUCCAACUAAAAGCUUUACCUUCCAUAGGGAAAUAGAUCAAUUAAACAAUUCAAACAACACCAAAUACAAAGUUAUUUGGAUACUUUAAAGGUAUAAAAUGACAAACCAAACAAAAUUUGCAAAAAAAAAAAAAAGGUUUCAUUUGAAUCAGGAAAGGAACUGGUGCUGUGGCAAACCAUGGCUACCAGCAUUUCCUAAUUCCAAGUCUAGUACAAACUGAUACUAAAUCUAAGAAUAAAUAUACCAAAAAUCGCCUUAGAGGAGAUCAGCAACAUUGGCUGGGAGCUCCUCAAUUACGACGUUGUAAAACUUCUGUAUGUCAAAAAGCAUCCUUUCAUCAUCCUUGGUGACAAAGUUGAUAGCAACACCCUUCCUUCCAAAUCGUCCACUACGACCAAUACGAUGCAGGUAGUUUUCUGGUUGAGUUGGCAGGUCAUAGUUAAUAACAAGGGAGACUUGUUGGACAUCAAUACCACGAGCAAGGAGAUCGGUUGUGAUAAGCACACGAGAUGAGCCAGAUCGGAACUCCCUCAUGAUGAUAUCUCUUGUGUUCUGAUCCAUGUCUCCAUGAGUUGCAGAUACUGUGUGGUCACGUCCACGCAUUUUAUCAGUGAGCCAGUCAACCUUUCGCCUAGUGUUAACAAAGAUGACGCUCUGGGUGAUGGCCAAGGUCUCGUAAAGAUCACAUAGUGUUUCAAGCUUCCACUCUUCCUUAUCGACAUUGACAUAAAACUGCUUAAUACCUUCAAGAGUGAGCUCAUCACGCUUCACGAGAAUUCUCACAGGCUUG
rnacentral:lncRNA from 1 species